rnacentral:lncRNA from 10 species
GGACAGGCAGCCAUCAAGUCAACUUGAGGAUUCAACAGUUCCAUCAAAGAGCCAAGCCCUUUUUAUCUUCCUAUUCCUCCAGUCUUCAUCAGCUAGCAAUUGACCUCAGAUAAGGAAAACGAAGCACAGAGCAAUUAAAUAACUUGCCCAAGAUCGCCCAAGAUCACCCAAGAUGUCCGGCUGAAGUUCUUAACCAUUACCUUACACUAAUCAACAGCAACAAUAAUAAUAACCACCUUUCUAGGAUGCAAAUUAUGUUCCAAGAACUUUCAUUAUUUCAUUACAUCUGCAUAGCCCCAAGAGUAAAUAAUAUCCUGUUCUAUUGAAGAAGAAACUGAGGUCCCAAGACAUGAAAUUACUUGCUCAAGGUCACACACUGCCCUCAACUCUGUGAUGUCAAAAUUCCCUUCUCCAUAGGUAACAGAUCCUAUCUGGCUACUUUUCAUUAUUAAGGAGAAUGGAGAUGUCUCGGAUUUUUUGUGCACAAAUUGUCCUCAGAACCAAACAAAAUAACCAGCAUAGGAGAGAAUUCACAAAGUAAGAGACUCAUAAAGUAAAAUGUUUUGCUUUACUUUUUGCCUUUUUCAUCCUGCUUUGUUUUUCAACAUGUGUAAAUCAUUCUGUUACUAUAAACUUAAUAAAGAAGUAAAAGAGCAAAGACCAAAAAUGUAAUAAUGAAAUAAAGUUUUUAUCAGUUAUAAUUUUUUGGCAUGAUCAGGUUAUCUUUGGUGUACACUUCAGGGU